rnacentral:rRNA from 1 species
GGACCCGCACAAGCGGUGGAGCAUGUGGUUUAAUUCGAUGAUACGCGAGGAACCUUACCAGGGCUUAAAUGUAACGGGACAGAUCUAGAGAUAGAUCCUUCUUCGGACUCAUUACAAGGUGCUGCAUGGUUGUCGUCAGCUCGUGCCGUGAGGUGUCAGGUUAAGUCCUAUAACGAGCGCAACCCCCAUCGUUAGUUGCCAACGAGUAAUGUCGGGAACUCUAACGAAACUGCCGGUGCAAAACCGUGAGGAAGGUGGGGGAUGACGUCAAAUCAUCACGGCCCUUACGUCCUGGGCUACACACGUGCUACAAUGGUCGGUACAGAGAGCAGCCACUACGCGAGUA